UGCUGGGAUGGAAACUUCCCCAAGUUUUGUUAUAUUCUUGUCCUCUUUCAUCAACAGGGGCUUCUUCAUGAGUGAUUGUCUUUUCCUUGAAACAUGCCUUCUGAUUCACUGGUUGCCUCUCAAAGUGGCCCUCACAUUUCCAUUCUUCUUUCAAACUGGAGUACUCAAGGCCACAGCUUAAACAUGAUUCCCAGCGGAGAAGACAACUUUCCCUGAAGCCCUGUCAUGUGGUGACUGUCUUAUUUCUCACAUCCCUUGUACUACAGCACGUGGAGGUGAGGUAGGUGACCUCUUUGCUCCUUACACUUGUUUCCAUACCAUUGCCCCACCCUCUUCCCUAAAAUAUACCUAGUUUUCAACCUCAUGAAA